rnacentral:rRNA from 1 species
ACAUGCAAGUCGAACGAUGAAGCCUGCAACUUGUUGUGGGUGGAUUAGUGGCGAACGGGUGAGUAAUACGUGGGUAACCUGCCCUCCUUUUUGGGAUAAGCCUUGGAAACGGGGUCUAAUACCGAAUAUUCUGGCGCUCUCGCAUGGGGGUGUUGGGAAAGCUUUAGUGUGAAGGGGGAUGGGCUCGCGGCCUAUCAGCUUGUUGGUGGGGUGAUGGCCUACCAAGGCGGUGACGGGUAGCCGGCCUGAGAGGGUGACCGGCCACAUUGGGACUGAGAUACGGCCCAGACUCCUACGGGAGGCAGCAGUGGGGGAUAUUGCACAAUGGGCGAAAGCCUGAUGCAGCGACGCCGCGUGGGGGAUGAAGGCUUUCGGGUUGUAAACCUCUUUCGCUAUCGAACAAGGCUCAUUUUUUGGUGGGUUGAGGGUAGGUGGAGAAGAAGCGCCGGCUAACUACGUGCCAGC